rnacentral:rRNA from 1 species
AUUGGACGCUGGCGGCAUGCCUUACACAUGCAAGUCGAACGGCAGCGCGGGAGCAAUCCUGGCGGCGAGAGGCGAACGGGUGAGUAAUAUAUCGGAACGUGCCCAGUAGUGGGGGAUAGCCCGGCGAAAGCCGGAUUAAUACCGCAUACGACCUGAGGGUGAAAGGGGGGGAUCGCAAGACCUCUCGCUAUUGGAGCGGCCGAUAUCAGAUUAGGUAGUUGGUGGGGUAAAGGCCUACCAAGCCUGCGAUCUGUAGUUGGUCUGAGAGGACGACCAGCCACACUGGGACUGAGACACGGCCCAGACUCCUACGGGAGGCAGCAGUGGGGAAUUUUGGACAAUGGGCGCAAGCCUGAUCCAGCAAUGCCGCGUGCAGGAAGAAGGCCUUCGGGUUGUAAACUGCUUUUGUCAGGGAAGAAAUCCUCUAGGCUAAUACCUUGGGGGGAUGACGGUACCUGAAGAAUAAGCACCGGCUAACUACGUGCCAGCCGCCGCCGUAA